rnacentral:lncRNA from 1 species
AUGAAAUACUGUCUGGCCGAGGAGGUCCUUUAAAGAAAACAAGUUAUGGUUUACUUGGAAAUCCUCAGGUACAAAUAUUAUCAUUUUUUUAAAGACCCCUGCAUAUAUAACAAAAUAGUAAAACUGUCACCAUAUGAAACAACAAAGAGAUUAUCAUCAGCAAUCUUGUAUAAACAUGGUUAUAAUUGGUUCUUUUCUUUUUAACAGGGCAAACAAGGAUCUGAUAGAAAUAAUACAUCUGAUGUCAGGUAAGAUAAUAACAUAUUGAUGUAUAUUUUAAUCCUUUGAUGAAGAUUCUACAUUGUUCUAAGAGGCUGACAUAGUCAUGUGCCUGCACAAGAUAUCUGCAUUAUAGUUUGCCUUCUGUGAAUCAAAACCUUUGUAAAUUUAUGAUUAGGUUUAAAUUUUAGUUUUUGUAAUCGGACCAUAAAGGGGUGAUCUGAAAAAUAAGAACUCUUAUACAUUAUGUGGUCAUCUUUACAAUGAGUCUGAAUCAUUUAUGUUGCAAAAGCGAAACAUUGUAAUCCUAGAUUCUGUAGUUCAGUCAUCAAUCACUUUGUCAAACCUUCAUGGAAUCUUGUGAAAUUUUGAGAGAUAAUUGUUUAGGACCAUGAGCAAAUUUUGAAAACAAAAAUAUUUUCAUUUUUCUGUAUUUUACUGAUAGAUAGACUUUUUUUAUGAAACGAGCAAAUUUUUGAUUUUUUUUUUCAUUUUUAGUAUUUUUUCUGAUAGAUGGACUUAGUUUUAUACAGUUGAAAUUCAGUUUAGGAUUAUUUUAUUUUUAUGUGACAAUUUUUUUAAAGCUUUUGGACGGUUAUGAAACCUAGACAGAAGCUUAUCUUCAAGACCAAAACAGUCAUCUGAAGAAAAAGAUUGAUUUUUAUUUGGAAUUCUGUAUUUUACUUAAUUGAGGAAUGACUGUCAGAUUUUUUAUGUCUUUGAAGAAAUAACAUAACAAAAUGUGGUCCACACUGAAUAACACCCGCAGCGGGUUAUUUAAAGUGUGCAACACAAUUUUUAUGUUAUUUCGAAUAGGCAGAAAAAAUAUGACAGUCAUCUCUUAUAAUUUAAUUAUUCAUUCCAUUUUAAAACCGUAGAAAACCAUGAAAAACGUUGAUGACGUCACGGUCACAUGACAAAAUUAUGUCUAUGGGAUGAUAAACAAAACGGCGUCAGCCAAUCAGAAGACGCGUUACAUCCAAAAUUAAAUUAUUGACAAAUGGACUAACUUGUUAUAGGACCGCAUAAAUUGAAAAUUUUUUGGUUAUAUAAUGGUAUCAUGUUGGUGUUGUUAUCUGCGUUGUCGUCGUCGUCUGAAUACUUUUUGUUUUCGCACUCUAACUUAAGUAAAAGUGAAUAGAAAUCUAUGAAAUUUUAACACAAGGUUUAUGACCACAAAAGGAAGGUUGGGAUUGAUUUUGGAAGUUUUGGUCCCAACAUUUUAGGAAUAAGGGGCCAAAAAGGGCCCAAAUAAGCAUUUUCUUGGUUUUCGCACUAUAAUUCUAGUUUAAGUAAAUAGAAAUCUAUGAAAUUUUGACACAAGGUUUAUGACCACAAAAGGAAGGUGAGAUUAAUUUUUGGAGUUGUUCCAAUAGUUAGGAAUUAGGGCAAAAAGCCAAAAUAGGCAUUAUCUGGUUUCGCACAUACUUUAUAUAAGUAAAUAAAAUCAAUGAAUUUAAACACAAGUUUUGACACAAAAGGAAGUUGGAUAGUUGGAGUAAGUAAAACAAGUUUAGAAUUAGGCCAAAAAGGGCCAAAUAACAUUAUUCUUGGUUUGCACCUAACUUUGUAUAAGUAAAUAGAAAUCUAUGAAAUUGAACACAAGGUUAUGACAUAAAAGGAAGGUUGAGGUUUGAUUUGGAGUUUGUCCAACAUUUAGGUAAGGGCCAAAGGUCCAAAAUAACUUUGUGAUUCAUAAAAAUUGAAUAAUGGGUGCUGAUAUACCGAAUCUAACUGUGUAUGUAGAUUUAAAUUUUUGGCUGUUUCAAAUUGGUCUACAUUAAGUCCAAAGGGUCAAAAUUAACUUAGUUUGAUUUAACCAAAAAAUAAUCCUGGGUUUUAUAUUGCUGAAUUAAAAUGUACUUAGAUUUGAUAUUGGCCCAGUUUUCAAGAUGGUCAAAUGGGGUCCAAAAUUAAACUGUUUGAUUUCAUCUAAAAUUGAAUAAUUGGGGUUCUUUGAUAUGCCAAAUCUAACUGUGUAUGUAGAUUCUUAAUUUUUGGUCUCGUUUUUAAAUUGGUCUACAUUAAAGUCCAAAGGGUCCAAAAUUAAACUAAGUUUGAUUUUAACAAAAAUUGAAUUCUUGGGCUUCUUUGAUAUGCUGAAUCUAAACAUGUACUUAGAUUUUUGUUAUGGCCCAGUUUUCAAGUUGUUCAAAUCAGGAUCAAAAUUAUUAUAUUAAGUAUUGUGCAAUAGCAAGAAAUUUCAAUUGCAUAGAUUCAGCAAUAGUAGAACUCUUCAAUUGACAGUAUUGUGCAAAGCAAGAAAUUUUCAAUUGCACAGUAUUGUGCAUAAAGAAAUCUUCAAUGCACAGUAUUGUGCAAUAGCAAAUUUUCAAUUGCACAGUAUUGCGCAAUAGCAAGAAAUACUAUUGCACAAUAUUGUCAGUAACAGAAAAUUUCAAUUGGACUUAUCUUUCUUGUCCAGAAUAGUGUUAAUCAACUAAAUCUUGUAUACCAUAUUCAAUGUAUAUUUACUUUACUACCAACUGAAUAAAUUAAACAAUGUACAUUCAGUGAUAAAACCUUUAUUUACAUUUUAUAUUUUAUGAGUAUUUAAAUGAGUAGUUAUUGUGCAAAUUCCAUUAGAAAUUGAAUGAGAUCAGUUUUUGAAAAGACAGGGGGAUGUGAAAAAAAUGGGGUGUCUCAUUUCAAUUUCAUAAAUGAAGAAAAUUCUUCAAAUUUUUUGAGAGAUAAAUCAACAGCAUAGUGAAUUGCUCAAAGGCAAAAAAUUAUUUUAUUCAUUAGGACCACAUUCAUUCUGUGUCAGAAACCUAUGCUGUGUCAACUAUUUAAUCACAAUCCAAAUUAAGAGCUGAAUCCAAACUUUUACACAAUUACACUUUUACUGACAAAAUAUGCAAAAAUAGGAAAAUGGUAUAAAUAAAGGAUUGCACAUCCCAAAAAAUCACCUUUUUUUCAAAUGAUUUUUUUAGUGAGUAUUUAGCACAAUUUGAUAAACCUACAAAACUAUGUUGUUUAUUUAAUACAGCUAUGUACAAAAGAAUUUCAGGAGUAGUUGUAAGUGCUAUCAGAAUAUAUUACCUUAUAUAGUUUCUUUGUAUUUUAGCUUGAUGUAUCAGUUUAUAAUUCACUGUAUACAAUUAUAUAUACACAUUAUGCCAGUUUAAAACAGUUUACAUCUUGUUCACAGACCCCCUGUAUACUAUUAUUAUUGUUGUUGAUAUACUUGUAACCAAUAACUUGCUCUAGUAAUGAUAAAUGUAGUAUCUCAACAGUGACAGUUUACAAGUUUGCAAAAAUGUUAAAGAAAUUAAAUUUUGAAUGAUAUUCAUGAAAAUGCUUUUACAUGCUGAUGAUCAAAUUUAUAUGAAAUAUAUUGUACUGAUUUCUUUAUGCUAGAAAAAGUGAUCUUGUUCUAUUAAGCUAUGUUUGGAAAUUAUUAAGAUAAACACUGGUUGUUUAUAAUUAUUUUAUUUUCUAUAUUUCAGCACCUACUUUUAACACAGUGGAUGAUUUAGUAGGACAACAGCCAGUUUAUUCUGUGAUAACUUAUUUGAAACCAUAAUCAGAUCAUUGUUAAUAUGGAGAACACCAAGUGUGAUGGAAUAUUACAAUGGAAAACAAAAAAAUAUAUUGAUGUGCCAUUUAGUUUUUAAAAAUGUUUGAUAAAAUAAAAAAA